rnacentral:rRNA from 1 species
UGGGGAAUAUUGCACAAUGGGCGAAAGCCUGAUGCAGCAACGCCGCGUGAGUGAUGAAGGUCUUCGGAUUGUAAAGCUCUGUCUUUUGGGACGAUAAUGACGGUACCAAAGGAGGAAGCCACGGCUAACUACGUGCCAGCAGCCGCGGUAAUACGUAGGUGGCGAGCGUUGUCCGGAUUUACUGGGCGUAAAGGGUGCGUAGGCGGAUGUUUAAGUGAGAUGUGAAGUACCCGGGCUUAACUUGGGUGCUGCAUUUCAAACUGGAUAUCUAGAGUGCAGGAGAGGAGAAUGGAAUUCCUAGUGUAGCGGUGAAAUGCGUAGAGAUUAGGAAGAACACCAGUGGCGAAGGCGAUUCUCUGGACUGUAACUGACGCUGAGGCACGAAAGCGUGGGUAGCAAACAGGAUUAGAUACUCUGGUAGUCCACGCCGUAAACGAUGAGUACUAGGUGUAGGAGGUAUCGACCCCUUCUGUGCCGCAGUAAACACAUUAAGUACUCCGCCUGGGAAGUACGAUCGCAAGAUUAAA